rnacentral:rRNA from 1 species
UACGUAGGGUGCAAGCGUUAAUCGGAAUUACUGGGCGUAAAGCGCGCGUAGGCGGUUUGUUAAGUCAGCUGUGAAAGCCCCGGGCUCAACCUGGGAACUGCAGUUGAUACUGACCGACUAGGAGUACGAGAGAGGGAGGUAGAAUUCCAUGUGUAGCGGUGAAAUGGACGUAGAGUAUCGGGAGGAACACCAGUGGCGAAGGCGGCCUUCUGGGCUCUACCUGACGCUGAGACGCGAAAGCGUCGGGGGAGCAAACAGG